rnacentral:pre_miRNA from 1 species
GUAGUAUUCCCUCCGUCCCAAAAUUCUUGUCUUACAUUUGUUUAGAUACAGAUGUAUCUAACACUAAAAUGUAACUAGAUACAUACGUAUUUAGACAAAUUUAAGACAAGAAUUUUGGGACGGGGGGAGUACAAA